rnacentral:ncRNA from 1 species
CGAUGGAGGAGCGAUUCCCAUGAGUACGGACGGGAGGCCGAGAGAGCCUUUGAACGCGCCAGAAAGGGGAGGAUCGCCGAAGGGACAGAGCCUUUCUCUCAGGGCUGUUCUUGGACGUCCGGGCUAAUACCCGACGGCUGUCGCGGAAAUCAAUCGUUCCGCGGAGCGC